GAAAGAGCCGAAAAGAAAAAAAAGG
rnacentral:rRNA from 1 species